UAAUAGCGUAUAUUAAAGUUGUUGCGGUUAAAAAGCUCGUAGUUGGAUUUCUGUUGAGGGACGUCGGUCCGCACUAUGUGCGUGUAUCUGACUGUGCCUCGGCAUCCUCUCGAAUAUCGGUCUGCGCUUCAUUGCGUGGGUCGGACUUCGGGACUUUUACUUUGAGGAAAUUAGAGUGUUCACGGCAGGCAAGCGCCCUGAAUAUAUUAGCAUGGAAUAAUGAUAUAGGAUCUUGGUCCUAUUUUGUUGGUUUCUAGGGCUAAGAUAAUGAUUAAUAGGGACAAUUGGGGGCAUUCGUAUUAACGCGUCAGAGGUGGAAUUCUUGGAUUGCGUUACGACGAACUACUGCGAAAGCAUUUGCCAAGGAUGUUUUCAUUG
rnacentral:rRNA from 1 species